rnacentral:lncRNA from 1 species
CAUCUCUCUAAUCUCUAAUGAUUUUCUAGAAGAAAAGAAAGGGAAUUUAAUUCUCAAAGCAACCAUAUAAUUUGAUGGAAAAGCUCCCUGGAAAAUUAAUUAUUUCUUGUGUAGAAAAUGAUCCAGGCAUGCAUUGGACGUAAAUGCAAUUUUCAGUUCUGUUGUUUGCAAUUAUGGAUGUGAUAUGCUGAGCUACAGGACAUAAAUUCUUGUUUCAGAAGCAGCCUUUAGAGACAAGAUCACAAAUGAGAAGGAAGAGGUUAUGAAGACAAUCAGCUCUGUCCAGGUAUGAAACUUAGAAAGAGCUGUAACUGUUACAAUAUUCCAAUUCCCCAGUGGAUAGAGCCUUAGAGAGAAUCAUAGAAAGAUUUGGACUGGAAGACGUCUUCUCAAAGAUAAUUGAGUCGAAGCUCACAUCAUCUAGUCCAACAAGUACUGCAUUAUUACAUCUGACAUGAAGGUUAUGGAAGUCAGCACUAAACUUUCAAGGUUUUUCCCUGAAGGAUGAGAGGACAUCAGAACUGAGCAUUUUCCCAGGCCUCCAAAACAGUUUACAUUGGCUACCGAUAGUACCCCAGUGGACCAAGAAGCAAAUCGCAUAAAGGUGGUGCUGAACUUAUCACAAUGAUGCUUUCUAAGGGUGGCCUUUGAGCCACAAAGUAACUUCAAGGCCAUGAACAUCCCUCAGGACACAUUGUCUCCUGCAGCUGCCUAAAA